AUACGUCUAGGCUAAAACACAAAGUAGCAGCAUUGAAUCUGAUGUGGAAGAGUGAAAAAUAGCAAUUACUUAUUUUAAACUUUGUGCUAAAUGUAUUUUUUACAACAUUUCCAUGUUUACAGAUUGAGCAGAAUAGAAAAGCAAAGAAAACUGGUGUAGUAUUUUUUACGUUUGAUUAUUCAUAAACGUGUAUAAUAAGAAGCUUCAAUCUCCUUCUAUAAGUUUUUUUAGUCCCAUGCGUUUCUCACCUAAGCAUACAAAUCACACCCAUUGUUUAGAUUAAACUGGCUUGUCCCAUCAUAGUAAUCAUAUAUUUAAUCUCUGAAUGUCUGCCAACGCCAUUUUGAUUUUUCCAAAAAUUUCCAGCUUUUUAUAGGGCAAGUUGCAAAUUUAUUUAUGGCUGCAAUAAAAUAUUUGACGUGUGUAUCGUGGCAUACCCCUACUAUGCGGCCGCUAAAUGGACUCAAGCAUCCUCUGUAGAGUAUCGCACGGUAAUGCUUACACUGGAGACUCAAGAAAAAAUGGAAUGCUUUCUAAAACUUAUGAAAGCAAACAACAUUAUGACCGGAACUUUUAAUGUCAAUGCUGUGUCCUUCGGCUGCCCAAAAUCGAACAGAUGGUGCCAGAUUCCUGAAGAUCCCUUUCUGAACAACUCCUACAUUCCUUGGGCAAAAGGCGAACCGAGCAUGGACCCGUCAAAGGAAUGCGUCAUUGUGAAGUACGAUGCGGACAAAAUAUCUUUCACGUUUACCAAAAAUUCUUGCAAAGAUGCUCCUAAUCUGCGUAUUUCACAAACUAUCGAUUUUUAUCCAGAACAUUCAUUUGGACUAUCUUAAAUCAAAUUGUUUGUUGUGUAGAGAGAGGGAUAAAUAGUGUUUAAUGAGAAAUUAAACGGGUUGUAAACUUGUAUGGAAAUAAAUUUAUUUUUUG